CCUUAAAUGUGCAACUGUUGAAGUGCAUAGUUAACUGCUCCAUUUUUACAAAAUUAUAAUAAAGUUGUUUUGAAGAAUACAGUCUCUCUCCUUUUGGUUAGAAUUUCUACGACAAUUUUGUGACAGCGGUGGAAUGGCUAACUCCGCUUGCUGAUUGCUCCCGGGGAGAUGAGGUUAACUGUGCAGGGGUUGCGUCAGACGUGGCAGGGAGCCCCACACCCAGUGAGUGGAUACGCUAUUCCGAACAUACAAAAUUAAUUGAGGAAAGAUGCUUGUUUCUGUCGGCUCGAUGCGUGAAGAAGCCAGGUGGCUGUACUGACUCCGAUAGCUUGUCUCGAGUGAGCCAUGUUUCCGUGAAACAAAGAACGUUACAAUCUCUGAUGUCUCUCUGGAAGGCAACUCUUGCUCGGAUUUCGUCUACCUUGUUGUCAAGAGACUGGACAUUGGCGAGUAGUAUACUCGGGAGCGGUGCGCGAUGUGCCCG
rnacentral:lncRNA from 1 species